AGUAAUGGAUAGGUAACGUACCCCGAGCUCCGGAAUCCCUAUUCGAAAGGGUGGGUAAUACCGGAUAAUACCAUGUGCCCCAAGGUAUAUGGUCAAAGAUUUAUCGGCACGGGAGCGGCCUGUCUCCCAUCAGUUUGUUGGUGAGGUAACGGCUCACCAAGGCAGCGACGGGUAGCGGGACUGAGAGGUUGACCCGCAACAUCGGGACUGAGACACUGCCCGGACCUCCACGGAGGGCUGCAGUAACGAAUAUUGCGCAAUGGGCGAAAGCCUGACGCAGCGACGCCGCGUGUAGGAUGAAGUCCCUCGGGAUGUAAACUACUGUCAGGGGUUAGAAAGUCCGGUUCGCCGGAUUGAUCGGCCCCAGAGGAAGUCACGGCUAACUUCGUGCCAGCAGCCGCGGUAAUACGAAGGUGGCUAGCGUUGUUCGGUGUCACUGGGCUUAAAGCGUGUGUAGGCGGAAAAGAAAGCGUUUUGUGAAAGCCCCCGGCUUAACCGGGGAACUGCAAGACGAACUGCUUUUCUUGAGGCAAGCAGGGGUGCGUGGAACUCUUGGUGGAGCGGUGGAAUGCGUAGAUAUCAAGAGGAACGCCGGUGGUGAAGACGACGCACUGGGCUUGUCCUGACGCUGAGACACGAAAGCGUGGGGAGCGAACGGGAUUAGAUACCCCGGUAGUCCACGCCGUAAACGAUGUCUACUAGGUUGUGGGAGUUCUGACACUUUCACGGCCGAAGCAAAAGUGCUAAGUAGACCGCCUGGGGAGUACGGUCGCAAGGCUAAAACUCAAAGGAAUUGACGGGGGCUCACACAAGCGGUGGAGCAUGUGGAUUAAUUCGAAGCAACGCGCAGAACCUUACCUGGGUUUGACAUGCUUGGAUGACUGCCUGGAAACAGGUUAGUCUGCCCUUCGGGGUGAAACUUGCACAGGUGCUGCAUGGCUGUCGUCAGCUCGUGUCGUGAGAUGUCGGGUUAAGUCCUUUAACGAGCGAAACCCUUACAAUUUGUUGUCCACCGGGUAAUACCGGGUACUCUAACGGGACUGCCGGUGUCAAACCGGAGGAAGGUGGGGACGAC
rnacentral:rRNA from 1 species